rnacentral:rRNA from 1 species
AUGGCAGGAGGACACGCCCAAGCUUCAACAACACCUCUGCUGUGCCUCCCCCUCUGCCUCCUAGUACUGCUAUCCUCUGCCCAACGGGCGACGGGCAUGUACCUCGACGCCGGCGGAACCCACGAGACCUUCUCCGGCGGCACCGUGCCCGAGAGCUUCAGCGUGCGGAGCCGCAACUCCUCCAACAGCUCCGGCGCCGGCGCGGCCUUCUGCAGGCUCCUCUCCCUCCAGAUCCUCGACCUGUCCAACAACCAGCUCACGGGCGAGCUCCCCGACUGCUGGUGGAACCUGCAGGCGCUGCAGUUCAUGGACCUCUCCGACAACUCCUUCUCGGGCCAAAUCCCCGCUGCCAAGGCAAGUCACAACUGCUCCCUCGAGUCGCUCCAUCUCGCCGGCAAUGGCUUCACCGGCACCUUCCCGCGGGUCUUGAAAGGUUGCGACUCGCUGGCCACCCUCGACAUCGGGAGUAAUAACUUCUUCGGUGCCAUCCCUCCAUGGAUCGGGACCCAGGUUCCGUCGUUGAGAAUCCUUAGCCUUAGAUCAAACAAUUUCACAGGGGUAAUCCCUGUGGAGUUGUCGCGGCUCUCUAAACUCCAGCUGCUCGACCUCGCCAACAACAGACUCACAGGAAAAAUUCCGGUAGCAUUCGGCAACUUGACCUCCAUGAGGAACCCAGAAAUUGUGUCGAGUACGGCAUCAUCGCUGGAUGGGUCGACUUAUCAGGAUAGAAUCGAUAUAAUCUGGAAGGGCCAGGAGCUCAUCUUCCAAAGAACGAUCCGGUUAUUGACCGGCAUCGAUCUGUCAGGCAACCUCUUGUCUCAGUGCAUCCCUGACGAGCUAACCAACCUUUACGGCCUCCGAUUUCUGAACCUGUCAAGAAAUCAUCUGUCAUGCGGCAUCCCUGGAGAUGUCGGUAGUUUGAAGAAUCUCGAGUUUCUUGAUCUAUCAUGUAAUGAGCUUUCAGGACACAUUCCACAGAGCAUCUCGUUCUUGUCAACGCUCAGCAUAUUCAACAUCUCCAACAAUCAUUUGUCAGGCAGGAUACCUGGUGGGAGCCAGAUGCAGACGUUGACUGAACCUUCGUUUUACCGGAACAAUUCCGGCCUUUGCGGAUUUCCUCUAGCCGAUUGUCCAACUACUUCGCCUGCUUCGGAUGAGAAAACUGGUGAAGGGGAGGACCAGUGGCUGUACUACUGUGUGACUGCUGGGGUUGUUUUUGGAUUUUGGCUAUGGUUUGGCCUGCUCUUUUCAGUUGAGACCUGGAGAUGUGCUCUUCUCUUCUCUGUCGAUGGCAUGCAAUCCAAGAUUAUGAAGAAGGUGUCACAUAUUGACCAGUUUAUUUCAAAAAGUAGUAAUGAUCAAUAUACUAUGUAA